AUAUGUCCAUAUGAGGACAGAGGACGACGAUGGGCAGCAGCCAUCAACCAGAAGGACUCCAGCUCUCGGUGUAUUCAUGGGUUUGCAACAAACACUUUUUACAAGACAUCAAUCCAGUGCUUAUCACUACCACUCACAGCUCCAAAAUGAGCACAACAGCUGUGGGUCAGCAAGUGUCCACAGCUGACAAAGAAACAGACUCUGCAGGUUUCAUCUUCAGCUGAGGAGAGUUUUCACUGUUCAGUCGGACCACUCACUGAAAGCAGGUAGA